rnacentral:lncRNA from 1 species
GAACACUGAAGUUUCAGCCAAUCAGCAUGCCCGAAUGCACAUUUGGACACUGCACCCGCCCACUCUAGCUCAGAGGGUUUAUGUGGUUCCAAGAAGAAGACACAAGUUUUGGCUUGCUAUCAAGGUUUUUCGUUGUGUUUACGAGGAAGAUUGUGCGUGCAUCCAAGAAAAACCACAAGUCCAUUUCUUGUAACCACAAAGAUACUUCAAUGAUGUGUGGGUUUGUGCAACUGUGUGGUGGUGACUUAGAGAAUAAAGCUCUGGAUAUGAAAACAUCUGCCUGGUUUCUGCCGGACUGCCUGUAGUGGGUCAGACCAAAGUACAGCUAGCGUUAAGUCAUUAGCUGGUGAGGGUUCAGAAGCCAACCGCUCAGAUGGCUCCAGCUGGACAUUUUUAUACCCGGUUACUCGUUAACAAGGAUUUCUGGGAUCGUACACUCCCAAUUAUUGUGCAUGAACUUAAACUGACGUUUUCUGGUGUCUGAACUGCAUGACACUUGCACUUGGAAAGAGGAGACAUCAUAGCGUCACGUCAAUACACGCCCAACCAACUAGCUAGUACCACUUACGUUGGGGCGGGAAUAUUUGAAUUGCAGUGUCAGUUAGCUAGAGAGAUCCCUAGAUCCGUAGACCCCUCCGUAGAGAUCCACUCACUGCCUGUCCGCAACAUUAGCUGUGAUUUCAACGAGAAGACUUCAAGACUUUCAACAAAGUCGACAUCGAAGUACUUCAAAAGAACCAUGGUCUAGGCACAAUUUACACAGUAGGUCUUACGUUAGUGUGGUGGUUGUACAUUGAAAUGAUUUACUAGCUAGCUAACGUUAGUCAGCUGAAUUAAGUGCCAGAGAUGAAUAAACAUAUUUUAGCUAGCUAGCUACUUUGGUGUUAAGCAAGAGUUUAGGGGUUAGUUGUUGCAAGGUGCUUGAAUGCCUUAUAAAAUAAGCUGUUUAUCAAAAGGUAAUAAGACUUACUAGCACACUGUGUCCUAUUGCAGGGAAGUGAUGUUUUUUGUUUUUGUGAGUGUAGGGAAAAACUUGUGAUCGAUAUUGAAGCAUAGAGGUGUUUUAUGGAGACAUGAACAAUUAUUCUACUCAAUAUCCCUACACCCCAGUCUCCUCUGCUACCUCCCAGGGAGGAGGAAUACCCUAAACUCCUCGUUCUCACAGGACUCGGGCUAGUACGCUGUUGCCAGGUCAGUCUUGGGGGUGACCCGGCUGAGGUGAUUUUUUUGGGAAGAUUAUUUAAAAAUUUAAAAAAUGAAAUAAAUAACAUGAGGUU